CCUUUCUUGUUGCUUAAAUACGUCCAAUGCUUCAACUAGGCAUUCUUAAUUUCUUUAUUUGCCCAUUCAGGGAUGUAUUCAGAUCAUAGCUCUCGACCAAUGAAAUUGUUCAAAUUCUUCCGGCUAUUAUAUAAUGUUAUAAAUAAGACGUUCACCACAUAGAAAUGGAGAAUGUCGACAACUCAUUCAUGAUCAAAGAGAGGCUAGUGGAACGCUUGCCAUUUCAAUGUCCCAUAUGCUU